AUGUUCACUUUAGCAACACAUAUACUAAAUUUAUUAUGCCACGGAGAAGAUUAGCACAGUCCCCGUGCAAGGAUGACACGCAAAAUCAUGAAGCAUUCCAUAACUGC